rnacentral:misc_RNA from 1 species
GUGAAUCAUCGAAUUUUUGAACGCAAAUUGCACUCUCUUGCGUUCCGGAGAGUAUGCCUGUUUGAGGGUCAGUUUAAAUAAAAAUCGUGGUGUUGCUGGUUUGUGACCCAUCGGAAUUGGGUUAUCUUUGACCUUUUAAGAAGUUUGAGUGACCUAAAUUUGAUACCUUGUGCAUCUCCGACGUACAUAAGAAUAUUUUUUUAUCCGUACGGGUUUGCCAACUUUUUAUUAGUUAUGACCAUGCUGUUUCUGGCAUCGUACCUAUCAUAUACUCAUCUUUUGC